rnacentral:lncRNA from 1 species
UUUAUAUCUGGGCGUCACUGGUGGGUCUUGUGUGGACGAGGCGCGUUUUUGGCGUAUUAAAUUUUAAACAUGAUGCUUUUUGUUAUUCAUUAAUCAUGUGUUUCUUUGUUUAAUACGUUUUCUAUUUACUUGUAUUGUAGUCCUGUAAUAUUAUGUUGUCAUUUCUAUGUUAUAUUUAACAUUGCCAUUAAAGUGCGAGGUUUGGCAUGCCACAAAACCAGGUUAA